UAGGAGGGGGCUAUGCCUCUUCCGAGCACGAGAGGAAAGUCCGGGCAGCGCAGGGCAUCCCACUUGCUAAUUUACAAGUGGUCGGUGACGGCCAAGUAGUGCAGAAGAAAAUAACCGCCACCCUCGAAAGUAGAGUGUGGUAAGGGUGAGAAGGUGGGGCAAGAGCCCACCAGCGGUGUGGUGACAUAUCGGCUGUGCGCCUUGGGAGCUGCAAGUUCGUGUACACUGUCGAUGGCGAUGAUGCGUAUGCUUCGGUGUGGGCAUUGUUGCUGAUGAGGGUUGCCCGCCCAAGACAGGGGGUAGGACGCUGGAGACGUGCGGUGACGCACGUUCUGGAUAAAUGACAAACGCCUGAGCCUCUUAAUUUGACCUCCGCCUUGCAUGAAGUCUCGCUCAGGCACAGAACCCGGCUUAUAGGCUGACUGC
rnacentral:RNase_P_RNA from 1 species